rnacentral:rRNA from 1 species
UCGAACGCGAAGUUUCCUUCGGGAGGCGAGUAGAGUGGCGCACGGGUGAGUAACACGUAGGUAAUCUACCUUUGGAUGGGGAAUAACAACCGGAAACGGUUGCUAAUACCGCAUAAUGCAGCGGCACCUAAUGGUGACAGUUGUUAAAGCGGGGGAUCGAAAGACCUCGCGUCUGAAGAGGAGCCUGCGGCGGAUUAGCUAGUUGGUAAGGUAAUGGCUUACCAAGGCGAUGAUCCGUAACCGGCCUGAGAGGGCGGUCGGUCACACUGACACUGACACACGGGUCAGACUCCUACGGGAGGCAGCAGUCGGGAAUUUUGGGCAAUGGGCGAAAGCCUGACCCAGCAACGCCGCGUGAAGGAUGAAAUCCCUCGGGAUGUAAACUUCGCAAGAACAGGAAGAAUAAGUAAGGGUUAAUAUCUCUUACGAUGACGGUACUGUUUGUAAGCUCCGGCUAACUCCGUGCCAGCAGCCGCGGUAAUACGGGGGGAGCAAGCGUUGUUCGGAUUUACUGGGCGUAAAGGGCGCGUAGGCGGCCACCGCAAGUCGGUUGUGAAAUCUCUGGGCUUAACCCAGAAAGGUCAACCGAUACUGCGGGGCUAGAGUGCAGAAGGGGCAACUGGAAUUCUCGGUGUAGCGGUGAAAUGCGUAGAUAUCGAGAGGGACACCUGCGGCG